GAAAGUAAGCAAGGGCAGACGGUGGAUGCCUUGGCUCUCGGAGGCGAUGAAGGACGUGAUAAGCUGCGAUAAGCUUGGGGUAGGUGCAAAUAACCUUUGAUCCCAAGAUUUCCGAAUGGGGCAACCCGGCUGGUAGAAGGCCAGUCAUUCCGUAAGGAAGGCGAACGUGGGGAACUGAAACAUCUAAGUACCCAUAGGAGAAGAAAACAAAAGUGAUUCCGCAAGUAGUGGCGAGCGAACGCGGAACAGCCCAAACCGAUGAUGUUUAGGCAUUGUCGGGGUAGUAGGACCACGUUGUGGCAAGAGAUUAAGGAAGUAGAACGUUUUGGAACAAACGGCCGUAGACGGUGAAAGCCCAGUAUACGACUCUUUAACGAAGCCUAGUGGAAUCCUGAGUAGCGCGGAGCACGAGAAAUUCUGUGUGAAUCAGCGGGGCCCAUCCCGUAAGGCUAAAUACUCCCGAGAGACCGAUAGCGAACCAGUACUGUGAAGGAAAGGUGAAAAGCACCUCGAACAGAGGAGUGAAAUAGUCCCUGAAACCGUCUGCCUACAAGCGGUCGGAGCAACGUAAGUUGUGACGGCGUGCCUUUUGCAUAAUGAACCUACGAGUUACUUUCUCCGGCAAGGUUAAGGGCUUCAGGCCCGGAGCCGAAGCGAAAGCGAGUCUUAAUAGGGCGUGAUAGUCGGAGUGAGUAGACGCGAAACCAAGUGAUCUACCCUUGGUCAGGAUGAAGGUUGGGUAACACCAACUGGAGGUCCGAAUGGGUAUACGUUGAAAAGUGUUCCAAUGAACUGAGGGUAGGGGUGAAAGGCUAAUCAAACUUGGAGAUAGCUCGUACUCCCCGAAAUGCAUUUAGGUGCAGCCUUGCGGGUUACUGAUGUGAGGUAGAGCGACUGAUAAGAUGCGAGGGCUUCACCGCCUAUCAAGUCUUGACAAACUCCGAAUGCGCAUCAGUUCUACCGCAGGAGUGAGGGCAUGGGUGCUAAGGUCCGUGCCCGAGAGGAGAAGAAUCCGGACCACCUGCUAAGGUCCCGAAAUAACAGCUAAGUUAAACUAACGAAGUCAGAUUGCUAAGACAGCUAGGAUGUUGGCUUGGAAGCAGCCAUUCAUUUAAAGAGUGCGUAACAGCUCACUAGUCGAGGAGUUUGGCGUGGAUAAUAAUCGGGCAUUAAGCAAUUUACCGAAGCUAUGGGAUCAGUAAUGAUCGGUAGGGGAGCAUUCCACUCUGCGUCGAAGGUGAAGCGUGAGCUUUGCUGGAGCGUGUGGAAAAGCAAAUGUAGGUAUAAGUAACGAUAAAGGGGGUGGGAAACCCCCUCGCCGAAAGACUAAGGUUUCCUGAUCAACGCUAAUCGGAUCAGGGUUAGUCGGGUCCUAAGGCUCAGCCGAACGGUGAGGCCGAUGGCAGAACAGGUUAAUAUUCCUGUACUACCUUAAGGAGUGACGUGGAGACGGAGGAGUGACAGCGCCGCGGACUGACGGAAUAGUCCGUUGAAGGGUGUAGAUGUUGAUUAUCCCAGGCAAAUCCGGGAUAAGAGUCGAACCUGAUAGUAUACCAAAUUCUUCGGAAUAAGGUAAUAGUGCGUGUAAGCAUACUCCCAAGAAAAUCCGCUAAACUUAAUCUUUAAGGUACCCGUACCGCAAACGGACACACGUAGUCGGGUUGAAUAUACUAAGGCGCUUGAGUGAUUCACGGUUAAGGAACUAGGCAAAUUGACCCUGUAACUUCGGGAUAAAGGGUCCCCACUGUAAGGUGGGGCGCAGAGAAUCGGUCCAGGCAACUGUUUAACAAAAACACAGGGCUGUGCAAAAUUGAAAGAUGAAGUAUACAGCCUGACACCUGCCCGGUGCUGGAAGGUUAAGAGGAGAUGUCAUCGCAAGAGAAGCAUUGAAUUGAAGCCCCAGUAAACGGCGGCCGUAACUAUAACGGUCCUAAGGUAGCGAAAUUCCUUGUCGGGU
rnacentral:rRNA from 1 species